GGAGUUAGCCGGUGCUUCUUCUGUGAGUGAUGUCCUUCCUGCCGGCUAUUAACCCGCAGGCCUUCUUCCUCACUGAAAGUGCUUUACAACCCGAAGGCCUUCUUCACACACGCGGCAUGGCUGGAUCAGGGUUGCCCCCAUUGUCCAAUAUUCCCCACUGCUGCCUCCCGUAGGAGUCUGGGCCGUGUCUCAGUCCCAGUGUGGCUGAUCAUCCUCUCAGACCAGCUACGGAUCGUCGCCUUGGUGAGCCGUUACCUCACCAACCAGAUAAUCCGACAUAGGCUCAUCCGAUAGCGCGAGGCCCGAAGGUCCCCCGCUUUCCCCCGUAGGGCGUAUGCGGUAUUAGCCUGGGUUUCCCCAGGUUAUCCCCCACUACCGGGCAGAUUCCUAUGCAUUACUCACCCGUCCGCCGCUCGCCACCAGGGAGCAAGCUCCCCGUGCUGCCGCUCGACUUGCAUGUGUUAGGCCUGCCGCCAGCGUUCAAUCUGAGCCAGGAUCAAACUCUGA
rnacentral:rRNA from 1 species